GUGUCUUUUAAGUAUAGAUUGGUAUGGUUUACAAGGAUGAAAACGGGGUUGUUUUGUAAGAAAAAAAAUAUUGGGUGCGCGAGCACCCAAUACGGUUGCACAAAAGGGUGUAAUAAAAGUUCAGUUUUCACUGAUGAUCCUUCCGCAGGUUCACCUACGGAAA
rnacentral:misc_RNA from 1 species